GGCCAAGUGGUUGUAAAGCCUUUUACCAGGGAUGAAAAUGACAGUACCUGGAGAAAAGCUCCGGCCAACUCCGUGCCAUCAGCCGCGGUAAUACGGAGGGAGCAAGCGUUGUUCGGAAUUACUGGGCGUAAAGCGUACGUAGGCGGUUAUUCAAGUCAGGGGUGAAAGCCUGGAGCUCAACUCCAGAACUGCCCUUGAAACUAGAUAACUAGAAUCUUGGAGAGGUGAGUGGAAUUCCGAGUGUAGAGGUGAAAUUCGUAGAUAUUCGGAAGAACACCAGUGGCGAAGGCGACCCACUGGACAAGUAUUGACGCUGAGGUACGAAAGCGUGGGGAGCAAACAGGACUAGAUACCCUGGUAGUCCACGCCGUAAACGAUGAUUACUAGCUGUUCGGGCUCUACGAGCUUGAGUGGCGCAGCCUACGCAUUAAGUUAUCCGCCUGGGGAGUACGGUCGCAAGAUUAAAACUCAAAGGAAUUGACGGGGGCCCGCACAAGCGGUGGAGCAUGUGGUUUAAUUCGAAGUAACGCGCAGAACCUUACCAGCGUUUCGACAUCCUAAUCGCGGAUUCCAGAGAUGGAUUCCUUUCAGUUUCGGCUGGAUU
rnacentral:rRNA from 1 species